rnacentral:rRNA from 1 species
UACGUAGGUGACCAGCGUUGUCCGGAUUUACUGGGCGUAAAGAGCGCGCAGGCGGUCGUUCAAGUCGAGUGUGAAAGCCCCCGGCUCAACUGGGGAGGGUCACUCGAUACUGAUCGACUUGAAGGCAGGAGAGGGAAGCAGAAUUCCCGGUGUAGUGGUGAAAUGCGUAGAGAUGCGGAGGAACACCGAUGGCGAAGGCAGCCCCCUGGGCUGACACUGACGCUCAGGCACGAAAGCGUGGGGAGCAAACAGG